CCAAUAGCGUAUAUUAAAGUUGCUGCAGUUAAAAAGCUCGUAGUUGAAUUUCGGGACCAUCAUGUCGGUCGUGCCUCGGUACGUACUGGCAUUGUUGGUUUCUACCUUCUGACGAACCAUGAUGUCAUUAAUUUGGUGUUAUGGGGAGUUAGGACUGUUACUUUGAAAAAAUUAGAGUGUUUAAAGCAGGCUUUAGCUUGAAUACAUUAGCAUGGAAUAAUGAAAUAGGACGUUCGAACCUAUUUUGUUGGUUUCUAGGAUCAACGUAAUGAUUAAUAGGGAUAGUUGGGGCAUUAGUAUUCAAUUGUCAGAGGUGAAAUUCUUGGAUUUAUUGAAGACUAACUACUGCGAAAGCAUUUGCCAAGGAUGUUUUCAUUAAUCAAGAACGAAAGUUAGGGGAUCGAAGACGAUCAGAUACCGUCGUAGUCUUAACCAUAAACUAUGCCGACUAGGGAUCGGAUGAUGUUAAUUUUUUAAUGACUCAUUCGGCGCCUUACG
rnacentral:rRNA from 1 species